GCUGGCGGCAUGCCUAACACAUGCAAGUCGAACGAGACCUUCGGGUCUAGUGGCGCAUGGGUGCGUAACGCGUGGGAAUCUGCCCUUGGGUUCGGAAUAACUUCGGGAAACUGAAGCUAGUACCGGAUGAUGUCUUCGGACCAAAGAUUUAUCGCCCAGGGAUGAGCCCGCGUAGGAUUAGCUUGUUGGUGAGGUAAAAGCUCACCAAGGCGACGAUCCUUAGCUGGUCUGAGAGGAUGAUCAGCCACACUGGGACUGAGACACGGCCCAGACUCCUACGGGAGGCAGCAGUGGGGAAUAUUGGACAAUGGGCGAAAGCCUGAUCCAGCAAUGCCGCGUGAGUGAUGAAGGCCUUAGGGUUGUAAAGCUCUUUUGCCAGGGAUGAUAAUGACAGUACCUGGAGAAUAAGCUCCGGCUAACUCCGUGCCAGCAGCCGCGGUAAUACGGAGGGAGCUAGCGUUGUUCGGAAUUACUGGGCGUAAAGCGCGCGU
rnacentral:rRNA from 1 species